UGAAACUCAAAGGAAUUGACGGGGUCCGCACAAGCGGUGGAGCAUGUGGUUUAAUUCGAUGAUACGCGAGGAACCUUACCUGGGCUAGAAUGCCCUUGAUUUGUACUGAAAGGUAAAGGCCGCAAGGACAAGUAGCAAGGUGCUGCAUGGUUGUCGUCAGCUCGUGCCGUGAGGUGUUGGGUUAAGUCCCGCAACGAGCGCAACCCUUGUCAUUAAUUGCCAUCAUUUGGUUGGGCACUUUAAUGAGACUGCCGGUGAUAAACCGGAGGAAGGUGGGGAUGACGUCAAGUCCUCAUGGCCCUUAUGGGUAGGGCUUCACACGUAAUACAAUGGCGCGUACAGAGAGUUGCCAACUCGCGAGAGGGAGCUAAUCUCAGAAAGCGCGUCGUAGUCCGGAUCGGAGUCUGCAACUCGACUCCGUGAAGUCGGAAUCGCUAGUAAUCGCGGAUCAGCAUGUCGCGGUGAAUACGUUCCCGGGUCUUGUACACACCGCCCGUCACACCAUGGGAGUGGGUUUCACCAGAAGCAGGUAGUCUAACCGCGAGGAGGGCGCUUGCCACGGUGAGAUUCAUGACUGGGGUGAAGUCGUAACAAGGUAACC
rnacentral:rRNA from 1 species